rnacentral:rRNA from 1 species
GCCAGCAGCCGCGGUAAUACGGAGGGGGUUAGCGUUGUUCGGAAUUACUGGGCGUAAAGCGCGCGUAGGCGGAUUAGAAAGUUGGGGGUGAAAUCCCGGGGCUCAACCCCGGAACUGCCUCCAAAACUGCUAGUCUAGAGUUCGAGAGAGGUGAGUGGAAUUCCGAGUGUAGAGGUGAAAUUCGUAGAUAUUCGGAGGAACACCAGUGGCGAAGGCGGCUCACUGGCUCGAUACUGACGCUGAGGUGCGAAAGUGUGGGGAGCAAACAGGAUUAGAUACCCUGGUAGUCCACACCGUAAACGAUGAAUGCCAGUCGUCGGAUAGUAUACUAUUCGGUGACACACCUAACGGAUUAAGCAUUCCGCCUGGGGAGUACGGUCGCAAGAUUAAAACUCAAAGGAAUUGACGGGG